rnacentral:rRNA from 1 species
CCUGCCAGACCUGACUGCUAUCGGAUUGAUACUAAGCCAUGCGAGUCAUUGUAGCAAUACAAGGCAUACGGCUCAGUAACGCGUAGUCAACCUAACCUAUGGACGGGAAUAACCUCGGGAAACUGAGAAUAAUGCCCGAUAGAACAUUAUACCUGGAAUGGUUUAUGUUCCAAAUGAUUUAUCGCCGUAGGAUGGGACUGCGGCCUAUCAGUUUGUUGGUGAGGUAAUGGCCCACCAAGACUAUUACAGGUACGGGCUCUGAGAGGAGUAGCCCGGAGAUGGGUACUGAGACACGGACCCAGGCCCUAUGGGGCGCAGCAGGCGAGAAAACUUUGCAAUGUGCGAAAGCACGACAAGGUUAAUCCGAGUGAUUUCUGCUAAAGAAAUCUUUUGUUAGUCCUAGAAACACUAACGAAUAAGGGGUGGGCAAGUUCUGGUGUCAGCCGCCGCGGUAAAACCAGCACCUCAAGUGGUCAGGAUGAUUAUUGGGCCUAAAGCAUCCGUAGCCGGCUCUGUAAGUUUUCGGUUAAAUCUGUACGCUUAACGUACAGGCCGCCGGGAAUACUGCAGAGCUAGGGAGUGGGAGAAGUAGACGGUACUCGGUAGGAAGUGGUAAAAUGCUUUGAUCUAUCGAUGACCACCUGUGGCGAAGGCGGUCUACUAGAACACGUCCGACGGUGAGGGAUGAAAGCUGGGGGAGCAAACCGGAUUAGAUACCCGGGUAGUCCCAGCUGUAAACUAUGCAAACUCAGUGAUGCAUUGGCUUGUGGCCAAUGCAGUGCUGCAGGGAAGCCGUUAAGUUUGCCGCCUGGGAAGUACGUACGCAAGUAUGAAACUUAAAGGAAUUGGCGGGGGAGCACCACAAGGGGUGAAGCCUGCGGUUCAAUUGGAUUCAACGCCGGG